UUUCUCCCCUGAUGACUUGCACUGGGCUCUGAGUCAGUAUGAAGACAAAAGUGCACCUCUGGCCCUGACAAGCCAGAGUUACUGAGGAGAAA